GUUGGAGUGACUCAAGGUUCUAAGGGAAAUCAAACUAGUCCAGUUGGAUAUGAUAAGGCAGAAAAAAUGACUGAAGUGUAUCGAGAUGUUCAGAGAAGUGAUACUAGUCUAUUAAAGUCUAAAAAGGCAAAAAAAAAGUGAUUGAAGUGGCUGAAGAUGCUACGAGAAAUGAAACUAGUCCAAGUGAAUAUGAUAGGACAACAAAGGUGAGGGGAACAAACAUUUUAAAAAAGUUUUGCGAUUAAGACCUAGAGAAAAGUUAAAAGUCACUUUCUAUCAAAAUCGAGUCGUUGGGCCGAAUCACACCUCAUUUACAAGACACUUGGGUUUGCUAGUUCGUGAUCGCAAUAUAUGCCCAUUGCGGGUACACUCAUGAAUGGAUAUUGAAGAGCAUAAGCUUGAGCAUAUGUGGGCAGUUGUUACAAUAAGAAUUACAACAUUACUCUCUUUUAUUUUCGCUGACUUGAUACCGCUGCUACUGUAACAACAAUAUUUCUCCCUCUUCUUCUUGCGUUUGUUUAGAGUAUACUAUGGUGUUGCCUUUGUUUAGACAUUAUUAUGGUCUUUGUUUAAGAAUAGCUAUUACCACAACAAAUAAAAAAUUCAUCUCCUCAGUCUUACUAUUCACUCUCUAUUUAGUUUCUUAAUCCACUCACACUCGGUGUUGAGGAAUUUCUACUACCCUUGUUAAACAUAGACAACAAUUUGCAUCUUGCACCUGUAUGUUCAGUCUCAUCAUUCGAGUCUUCUUAAGUUCCUUGUUCUAGUUUGCCAACCAGAGGAUAAAUUUAAUUAUGCUUUGGUUGCACAACUUUUGUCCAAGUAAGAUAUGCUUCCCAAAGAGUGGUCUGGACCCCUAUAACUCCUGGUGGCUGAUUACGUAUGUUUCACUCUUUGUCAACUUGUACUUUCUCUUUUGGUACUAGUCAACCAUUCCUGUUUUUAGAGACGUUAACUUUCUCCAAUACCAACAACAAUCUGUAGGUGGUAUGUGAUCACAUAUAUUGCCAUAUUACUUCAUAUACACUGCAUGUGUCCAUAUUACCCAGAGGAUGUCUAGAUAUUCUGAAACAUUCCAUAUAGUAGUUUGCCAACAUAAGCUUCAUUCCAUUUCAUACAUCCCUUAACUUUUAGUCCUAAAAAAUUAUAUAUGGGAGGCAUACCUUAACCCAAGAAAUCAAAGGUGUCUUUC